rnacentral:rRNA from 1 species
AUUGAACGCUGGCGGCAUGCCUUACACAUGCAAGUCGAACGGCAGCACGGGAGCUUGCUCCUGGUGGCGAGUGGCGAACGGGUGAGUAAUACAUCGGAACGUACCCAGGAGUGGGGGAUAACGUAGCGAAAGUUACGCUAAUACCGCAUAUUCUGUGAGCAGGAAAGCGGGGGAUCGCAAGACCUCGCGCUCUUGGAGCGGCCGAUGUCGGAUUAGCUAGUUGGUGAGGUAAAAGCUCACCAAGGCGACGAUCCGUAGCAGGUCGGAGAGGAUGAUCUGCCACACUGGGACUGAGACACGGCCCAGACUCCUACGGGAGGCAGCAGUGGGGAAUUUUGGACAAUGGGGGCAACCCUGAUCCAGCCAUGCCGCGUGAGUGAAGAAGGCCUUCGGGUUGUAAAGCUCUUUCGGCGGGGAAGAAAUGGCAACGGCUAAUAUCCGUUGUUGAUGACGGUACCCGCAUAAGAAGCACCGGCUAACUACGUGCCAGCCGCCGCUGUAAAAC